GACGAACGCUGGCGGCGUGCUUAACACAUGCAAGUCGAACGGAAAGGCCCUGCUUUUGUUGGGUUCUCGAGUGGCGAACGGGUGAGUAACACGCGAGUAACCUGCCCUUGACUUUGGGAUAACUUCAGGAAACUGGGGAUAAUACCGGAUAGGAGAUCCUGCUGCAUGGUGGGCGAUGGAGAGAUUCGGCGGUUUGGGAUGGAUUAGCGGCUUAUCAGCUUGUUGGUGGGGUAGUGGCUUACCAGGGCUUUGACGGGUAGCCCGCCUGAGAGGGUGACCGGGGACAAUGGGCCUGAGAGAGGGAGCAGUAGGCAACCGGCGGCAGCAGUCGGGAAUCUGGCGGAGUAGGCGGGAGUCUGAGGCGGCGACGCCGGGUGCGGGAAGACGGCUUUCGAGUGGUAAACAGCUUUGGCAGUAGACGAAGCCUGAGUGACGGUACUGAGUAAAGAAGCACCGGCUAACUACGUG
rnacentral:rRNA from 1 species